GAUGAAGAACGUAGCGAAAUGCGAUAAGUAGUGUGAAUUGCAGAAUUCAGUGAAUCAUCGAAUCUUUGUACGCACAUUGCGCCCUUUGGUAUUCCUUAGGGCAUGCCUGUUCGAGCGUCAUUUAAACCUUCAAGCUCAGCUUGGUGUUGGGUGACUGUCCGCUUCACCGCGGACUCGCCUCAAAAUUAUUGGCGGCCGGUACAUUGGCUUCGAGCGCAGCAGAAACGCGAACUCGGGCCCGUCGUAUUGGCUCCCAGAAGCUAUCUUCACAAUUUUGACCUCGGAUCAGGUAGGGAUACCCGCUGAACUUAAGCAUAUCAAUAAGCGGAGGA
rnacentral:misc_RNA from 1 species